rnacentral:rRNA from 1 species
UACGUAGGGUGCGAGCGUUGCCCGGAUUUAUUGGGCGUAAAGCGCGUGUAGGCGGCUUUGCAAGUCGGGUGUGAAAGCCCUCAGCUCAACUGAGGAAGUGCGCCCGAAACUGCAGAGCUUGAGUGCCGGAGAGGGUGGCGGAAUUCCCCAAGUAGAGGUGAAAUUCGUAGAUAUGGGGAGGAACACCGGUGGCGAAGGCGGCCACCUGGACGGUAACUGACGCUGAGACGCGAAAGCGUGGGGAGCAAACAGG